rnacentral:rRNA from 1 species
GACAGAGGAUGCAAGCGUUAUCCGGAAUGAUUGGGCGUAAAGCGUCUGUAGGUGGCUUUUAAGUCCGCCGUCAAAUCCCAGGCUCAACCCUGGACAGGCGGUGGAAACUACCAAGCUGGAGUACGGUAGGGCAGAGGGAAUUCCGGUGGAGCGGUGAAUGCGUAGAGAUCGGAAAGAACACCAACGGCGAAAGCACUCUGCUGGCCGACACUGACACUGAGAGACGAAAGCUAGGGGAGCGAAUGGG